AAGACGGUGAGCGGGUGCUUGCACUCGUGGAUCCGUGGCGAACGGGUGAGUAACACGUGAGUAACCUGCCCUCCACUCUGGGAUAAGCGCUGGAAACGGCGUCUAAUACUGGAUACGACCGACCCUCGCAUGGGGUGUUGGUGGAAAGAUUUAUCGGUGGUGGAUGGACUCGCGGCCUAUCAGCUUGUUGGUGGGGUAAUGGCCUACCAAGGCGACGACGGGUAGCCGGCCUGAGAGGGCGACCGGCCACACUGGGACUGAGACACGGCCCAGACUCCUACGGGAGGCAGCAGUGGGGAAUAUUGCACAAUGGGCGAAAGCCUGAUGCAGCGACGCCGCGUGAGGGAUGACGGCCUUCGGGUUGUAAACCUCUUUCAGCAGGGAAGAAGCUUUUGUGACGGUACCUGCAGAAGAAGCACCGGCUAACUACGUGCCAGCAGCCGCGGUGAUACGUACGGUGCGAGCGUUGUCCGGAAUUAUUGGGGCGUGAAGAGCUUGUAGGCGGUUUGUCGCGUCUGCUGUGAAGAUUCAGGGCUUAACCCGUGGACAUGCAGUGGGUACGGGCAGACUAUAGUAUGGUAGGGGGAGACUGGAAUUCCUGGCUGUGGCGGCUGCAAUGCGCAUAUAUCUCGGAGGCAUCACCGAUGGCGAAGGCAGGUGUCUUGCGCCAUUAGUGAUGCUGAUGAUCUAUGCAUGGUGCAGCGAACAGGAUUGGAUACCUGCUACCCUAUGCUCUAUAGUCGGCCGCUACCCCUGGAUCGUCAUGCGAUGAGAUCUGAUUUUACUAACGAUCAACAACCCGGCCUAGAGGAUUAUUACCGCAAGUAUUACUGCCAGA
rnacentral:rRNA from 1 species